rnacentral:rRNA from 1 species
GUGGCGAACGGGUGAGUAACAACGUGAGUAACCUGCCCUUAANUNUGGGAUAAGCCUGGGAAACUGGGUNUAAUACCGGAUAUGANUCCUCAUCGCAUGGUGGGGGGUGGAAAGCUUUUUGUGGUUUUGGAUGGACUCGCGGCCUAUCAGCUUGUUGGUGAGGUAAUGGCUUACCAAGGCGACGACGGGUAGCCGGCCUGAGAGGGUGACCGGCCAUACUGGGACUGAGACACGGCCCAGACUCCUACGGGAGGCAGCAGUGGGGAAUAUUGCACAAUGGGCGCAAGCCUGAUGCAGCGACGCCGCGUGAGGGAUGACGGCCUUCGGGUUGUAAACCUCUUUCANUAGGGAAGAAGCGAAAGUGACGGUACCUGCAGAAGAAGCGCCGGCUAAUUACGUGCCAGCAGCCGCGGUAAUACGUAGGGCGCAAGCGUUAUCCGGAAUUAUUGGGCGUAAAGAGNUCGUAGGCGGUUUGUCGCNUCUGCCGUGAAAGUCCGGGGCUCAANUCCGGAUCUGCGGUGGGUACGGGCAGACUAGAGUGAUGUAGGGGAGACUGGAAUUCCUGGUGUAGCGGUGAGAUGCGCAGAUAUCAGGAGGAACACCGAUGGCGAAGGCAGGUCUCUGAGCAUUAACUGACGCUGAGGAGCGAAAGCAUGGGGAGCGAACAGGAUUAGAUACCCUGGUAGUCCAUGCCGUAAACGUUGGGCACUAGGUGUGGGGGACAUUACCACGUUUUACCGCGCCGUAGCUAACGCAUUAAGU